rnacentral:rRNA from 1 species
CCAAGAAAAGCCGUAUAUGUGUUGAAUACCUAGUACCCGUACCCUAAACCGACACAGGUGGGUAGGUUGAGUAUACUAAGGGGCGCGAGAUAACUCUCUCUAAGGAACUCGGCAAAAUGGCCCCGUAACUUCGGGAGAAGGGGUGCCAUCGCAAGAUGGCCGCAGUGAAAUGAUCCAAGCGACUGUUUACCAAAAACACAGGUCUCUGCAAAGUCGAAAGACGACGUAUAGGGGCUGACGCCUGCCCAGUGCCGGAAGGUUAAGGAAGUUGGUCAGCGAAAGUGAAGCUAACGACUGAAGCCCCGGUGAACGGCGGCCGUAACUAUAACGGUCCUAAGGUAGCGAAAUUCCUUGUCGGGUAAGUUCCGACCCGCACGAAAGGCGUAACGAUUUGGAUGCUGUCUCGGAGAGAGACUCGGCGAAAUAGGAUUGUCUGUGAAGAUACGGACUACUUGCACCCGGACAGAAAGACCCUAUGAAGCUUUACUAUAACUUGGAAUUGGGUUCGGGCUUCUCUU